GUGGACAACUACGGUACUCACCCUUAGGGUCUUCCUGGCUGAGUCCAGUGUUGAAGAGGGCCUCAUUGGAUACCAACUCAUCGGCUGAGGGAGCCUUGAAGUCUUUGAGGGUUCUAAAGUGACCCUCUUCCUCAGCCUCCAGCUUUGGGACCUUGAAUGCUGAAGCCUCCAGUGGACCCUAGCUCGACAAAUCCUAAUCCUCCACUAUAGGGCUAGACACAAGCAAGAAUCGCUCCUACCCAUGA
rnacentral:lncRNA from 1 species